ACGUCAUCGGUUUGAUAGGUGUGGGCCACCCCAGUCAGCUGAGAUAGGUCGGGAGGGUGAGGGGGGGUCUGGAUGCCACGAGAUUCCACCCGGUUCGGUGCAUCGCUCUACGUUAAUGGGGGAGGACGCCUCUUCGGGGGAGGGAACUUUAGUCUGUAAACACAAAGCUGCUGUCGAAAUGUGACACAAGCAGUGGGAAGAUGGGAUUCUUUUAGACGUCAGCGCAAGUUCUGAAGCUUCCAAGGCAGCGGUUGCAAAAGGCACCGCUAAUGACCACUGCCCCAAUCCCUGCGGCAUAGAAAACGCCAGAAAGAUGGCCGGCAGAGAAACUGCCUCCAACUCACUCCACCUUGAAACGUCCCAUCCAAAGACGGACACAAAACCCGCAAGAAAAUCAAGUAGACACACAGGUGGCACACGGUUGCGCUAUUUAAUGACCCUCCAGCAGCAUAACCCUGAGCUACAGCCGCCUGCAUUACCCUUGGGUACGCCUCAAGGACGGCGGCUUGACUCUGAAGCUGCGGCACACCUGACAGCACCGCCGUACCGCGGCUCUUAAACGCACCUUAUAUCGCUCAGCCCACAGUGAAGAACGACUGGCAGCCACAUCAGCAUCCACGAACUAAUGACACCCAGCUGGAAUGACAUUAAAGAUCCUUGUGAGCAGAGCGUACACACAAUGCAGCUGGGCUGAAAUGAGAUCCACGGGCUCCCUCAUAGAUGGAAGGUCUGCUGUGUUGUCUUCGGCUCAGUUUUUCUGCUCGUUUUGUUUAAUAAAUGAGUCUACAGUUUA